UAUCUCUGUAGAGUCUGCAUAUCAAUAAGCGGAGGAAAAGAAACUAACUAGGAUUCCCUCAGUAACGGCGAGUGAAGCGGGAAGAGCUCAAAUUUGAAAUCUUCAAGGUUUACCUUGACGAAUUGUAGUUUAAAGAAGUGUUUUCUGUUGAAGUUUCGGUAAAAGUUCUUUGGAAUAGGACAUCAUAGAGGGUGAGAAUCCCGUAUUUGACCAGUUAUUUUCAAGCUGUGUGAUACACUUUCAAAGAGUCGGAUUGUUUGGGAAUGCAGUCCAAAAUGGGUGGUAAAUUUCAUCUAAAGCUAAAUAUUGGCGAGAGACCGAUAGCGAACAAGUACCGUGAGGGAAAGAUGAAAAGAACUUUGAAAAGAGAGUUAAACAGUACGUGAAAUUGUCAAAAGGGAAGCGUUUGACACCAGUGUUGUUUUCUCGAAAAUCAAUUAAAAAUGGCUGGGAUUUUGUGUUGUAUUGACUUUAUCAGCUUUCUGCACUUUUUUCAUGUCUUUUUUAAUGCACUUUUCGUUUAACAAGUCAACAUCAGUUUCUUUUGUUGUAAAAAGGUCAUUGGAAGGUGGCUUUCUUUUCGGAGAAAGUGUUUAUAGCCUUUGACUCCUGCAAUCGGAGAGACUGAGGUCUGCAGCGUAGAUCCUUCUUGGAUUAGAUUCAUUUGUGCUAAGUUAUAGCUUUUCAUAGACAACUUGUUGACUAUGUUUAGUCUUGUAGCUUACUCGCUUAUGUAAUUUUACCUACGCUUAGGAUGUUGAUCUCUCACAGUCGAGC
rnacentral:rRNA from 1 species